GGGGACAAUGGGCACCCAUGGGGACAAUGAGGCACUAAGGGGGACAAUGGGCACCCAUGGGGACAAUGGGCACCCAUGGGCACACAAGGGACCCAUGGGGACAAUGAGGCACUUAGGGGGACAAUGGGCACCCAUGGGGACAAUGAGGCACCCAUGGGGGACAUAAGGGACCCAUGGGCACAACAGGCACCCAUGGGGACACGAGGGACCCAUGGGGACAAUGAGGCACUAAGGGGGACAAUGGGCACCCAUGGGGACACAAGAGACCCAUGGGGACAACGAGGCACCCAUGGGGGACAUAAGGGACCCAUGGGGGACAGUAAGGCACCCACGGGGACAAUGAGCACCCACUGGGGACAACGAGGCACCCACUGGGGACACAUGGCACCUGUGGGGACAAUGAGGCACUUAUGGGGCAAUGAGCACCCAUGGGGACAGCAGGAGGCCACCGGGGACACGCAGCAGAGGUGACAGCGGAGCCCCGAGGGGACACGGGGACAUGGGGACACUGCGGGGACACAGCGGGGCCACCAGGGGUCACCUGACACCGGGAGUGACAGCGCAGAGCGGGGUCAGCUGGGGACACGCGGCCACAACCGCGGGAGGGCGACUGGGGACAAAGGGACAGCUGGGGACACACGGACAGGGACAGGGGCACAUGGGGACACACGGACAUGGCAUGGGGUCACCUGGGGACACACAGACAGGGGCACCUGGGGACACACGGACAUGGCAUGGGGUCACCUGAGGACACACAGACAGGGGCACCUGGGGACACACGGACAGGGACACCUGGGGACACACGGACAUGGCAUGGGGUCACCUGGAGACACACGGACAGGGGACAGGGACACCUGGGGACACACAGACUGGACACAGGGUCACCUGAGGACAGCCAGACAGGGGACAGGGACACACGGACAGGGUGGGAGGUCACCUGGGGACACACAGACAGGGGAUGGGGACAUUUGGGGACACCCAGACCGGACAUGGGGGCACCUGGGGACACCCAGACUGGACACAGGGUCACCUGAGGACACACAGACAGGGGACGGGGACAUUUGGGGACACACAGACAGGGGACAGGGACACUUGGGGACACACAGACACGGCAUGGGGUCACCUGGGGACACCCAGACCGGACAUGGAGUCAUCUGGGACAGCCAGACAGGGGACAGGGACACUUGGGGACACAC
rnacentral:lncRNA from 1 species